UUUCCUAAUUGUGAUGAAUUAUUUUAGAGUACUAUUGUAUAUACAGAGUACUAUUAAGAGUAGAUUUCACCGUUAGUCCCAAAGCUUUGGAAAACAGGCCAUGAAGCUCGGUCUCAUUACUGCAUAUUCCCGUUCUUCUCCGACCACCGUGACACUGAUCUCCGGCAAUCCCCAUGCUAAAACGGCGACGUUGGGCGUGAAAUUUCCCUCUUCCUUCAGACUGAACUCCGGGUAUAAAAUCUCUAGCUUCUCCCUGACAAUUUGUUCGUCCAAAUCAUCAUCUUCAGUUGAUUCUGCUGGUGCCGGAACGGAAACCUAUAAUCAAACUGUAGAUGGAGAAAUUUCGUCGCCUCAGGUUACGGAAUCGCUCAAUAUUGAAGUCGGAAGCCCUAAAAUUCUACCGAAUUAUUUCCCUCCCAAAUUAAGCUUAAGUGACCAAGCUUUCUUUCUCUUGACCUUCAUUGCUUGCACGACAUCCGUGGCUUUCACAAGUCUGGUAGUUGCAACUGUGCCAACACUGUUUGCGAUGCGUAGAGCAGCAAUAUCUUUGUCAAAGUUGGCAGAUACUGCUCGAGAGGAGCUUCCUAGUACAAUGGCUGCUAUCAGGCUGUCUGGGAUGGAAAUCAGUGACCUUACACUGGAAUUGAGUGAUUUAAGUCAAGAGAUAGCUGAUGGUGUCAACAAAUCUGCUCGAGCUGUGCAAGCAGCAGAAGCUGGAAUCAGACAAAUUGGGUCUCGUGCUCACCAGCAAACAAUGUCAAUGAUUCAGGAAAGAGCAGAUCUUCCAGUCAUAUCUUUGCAGCCAGUUGUAACUGGAGCAGCAAAGAAGACUUCUCAUGCUGUCACCCAAGCUACGAGAAGAUUCAUGAAUAUGAUCUCUGGAGGUGAACUUGGCUCAGAAAUGGAAGACAACGGUAAAAUUGAUCCAGAAUCUUAAGAGAGCAUAUCUCCAUUAUUUUACUCUAUCCUUGGCAGAGUAACAACAUGUUUAUAUGUUCCAAACAAAAUUCUGAACAUGAACAACACAUGUACUAAACAAUGAUUCAGAACGUUUUUCAGUAAAUAAUAGCCAUCUUUCAGGAAUGAGGUAGGCAGCCACAUUUUCACGCCUGCUGUGUGGGAAGGAGAGUUUCGUCUGCUCGAUUUCGCACUCAAGAUUUUCAGAACUGCACAGCAAAUCAUGGUUAUCCAGUUAUUCACUAAUCAAUGAAGAAAAGAAACACGGAGAAGGUAAAGUUAUUGAGAAAAAAAAGAAUAGGUUUCGAAUAAGAAAUUGAUUCAAGGAAUUUCAUUUCAAUCAUUUUUGAAUUUUUGCUAGAUUUGAAGGUUUGAGAAGGUUUGAAGAUUUGAAUUUGUGAUGAGUUUGGAUUGGUUGUUCUUGCAAACAAUGUAAAAUAUACUUUCGAGUUCAUAUAUCAUUUUUGAUGGAGA